rnacentral:lncRNA from 1 species
CGACUGGCACACUUCCCCCACGCCGGCGCACUCCCCCACUCUGUCGCACUCUGUCAGGCCGCCGCACUCCCUCACGUCGCUGUCGAUACCUUGCCGCGGUACCGCCGUUGUCUACCUAGUUCCCCUGCGUUGGCGCACUCCCCCUUUCCGUCGCACUCCACUGGAACGCCGCACUCCCCUGCGCCGCCAUCGAUACCUCGCCGCGGCGCCGCCGUGGUCUACCUCGCCACUUGACCGCCGCUACUUCUACCUAACCGACGGCGCGCAGUUCCUGCUUGGUAUCAUUGGUCGCCAUCGCUGAUACCACGCCGACACACAGUCCCUGCUCGGUAUCGCCAUACCGUCACCGUUGAUACUUCUCCACCAGCAAUACUUCACCGCCAGACCGUCGUUGUUGUCUACCUCACCGGCGCAGAGUCUUCCGUCCAAGGUCCCCUGCUCGGUAAAUUGGUAUCACACAUCUAUUUUCUCGCUACACCUGAUGAAAUGUCUAUGAACAAAAUGUGGGUUGAAUUUGUCUUGCAGAUCCACCUGAAAACACAUAGCAUCCGGUCUCUCCAUCCCCAUCGUCGUUCCUCUUCCCAUCCGGCUACGCCUUCCCGUCGCCCACACACCUCAUCACCACCGCCAUCGUUCCCCUUUCCCUCUACCCAUGCCUCCUGUUGCCAGCGCAGCUUCUGGCCGCACGUCCCAGCGAGCUCCCGCGGGCCUCAUCUAGUACUUCAUCGCCACGUGCCUCGGCCGUUAUCCCACUCCCUGACCAGCAAAUCGUGCAAAUGCACCCACGGUAAUCCAUACAUGCAUAUAUGGGAAUCACUUUUUUUAUGCUCAUUGAUUUUUUUUCUUCCAUUCAAUCUGAUUCUGAUACAUAGUUUGUUUCAAAUUCUAGGGUUUUUUUAUGUGUUUUUAAUCGAAAUGGAUGCGUAUCAUAAAUGAAAAAUCAAAAUUAGAUUAGAUACACUACCUUAGAACAAUUUUUGCGCAAUUUUUUAGCAGAUUGAUUUUUCCCUCACAACAGCAAUGGAUGUGUUUAUUUUGUUCACAAGGAGAGGUAUGAUACGCAAUGUAUGCACUAUAUUCCAAUAUUUUUUUAGAACAUAUCUUUUUGGAAUACCAGUUUGAUUUGUGAAUUUUUUAUAAUGUCUGAAAAUGUAUUAAUGUUUUUCAUAUUUUUGAUAGCUAA